AGUGAACGCUGGCGGUAGGCCUAACACAUGCAAGUCGAACGGCAGCACAGUAAGAGCUUGCUCUUACGGGUGGCGAGUGGCGGACGGGUGAGGAAUACAUCGGAAUCUACUUUUUCGUGGGGGAUAACGUAGGGAAACUUACGCCAAUACCGCAUACGACCUACGGGUGAAAGCAGGGGAUCUUCGGACCUUGCGCGAUUGAAUGAGCCGAUGUCGGAUUAGCUAGUUGGCGGGGUAAAGGCCCACCAAGGCGGCGAUCCGUAGCUGGUCUGAGAGGAUGAUCAGCCACACUGGAACUGAGACACGGUCCAGACUCCUACGGGAGGCAGCAGUGGGGAAUAUUGGACAAUGGGCGCAAGCCUGAUCCAGCCAUACCGCGUGGGUGAAGAAGGCCUUCGGGUUGUAAAGCCCUUUUGUUGGGAAAGAAAAGCAGCAGGUUAAUACCCCGCUGUUCUGACGGUACCCAAAGAAUAAGCACCGGCUAACUUCGUG
rnacentral:rRNA from 1 species